rnacentral:sRNA from 1 species
UUAUCCUUUAAUACUGUCCCGUGAGGCAGGCAAGGAGAGAACGGUAAAAGAAGCGUGCAACUGGUAUAGUUGUACCUAUAUUUUGUGGAAUCUCCUUGGUAACGAGGAGAUUUUUUGUAU